rnacentral:rRNA from 1 species
UACGGAGGGUGCAAGCGUUAUCCGGAUUCACUGGGCUUAAAGGGCGCGUAGGCGGGAUAGCAAGUCGGUCGUGAAAUCUCUCGGCUCAACCGAGAAACGUCGGCUGAUACUGCCGUUCUUGAGGGAUGCAGAGGAGACUGGAAUUCCCGGUGUAGCGGUGAAAUGUGUAGAGAUCGGGAGGAACACCGGUGGCGAAGGCGGGUCUCUGGGCAUUUCCUGACGCUGAGGCGCGAAAGCGUGGGGAGCAAACGGG